rnacentral:rRNA from 1 species
GACGAACGCUGGCGGCGUGCUUAACACAUGCAAGUCGAACGGAAAGGCCCCCUUGUGGGGUACUCGAGUGGCGAACGGGUGAGUAACACGUGAGUAACCUACCCUUUACUCUGGGAUAACUUCAGGUAAUUGGGGCUAAUACCGGAGAGUAGCUCCGGCUGCAUGGUGGGGGUUGGAAAGUUUCGGCGGUUGGGGGUGGACUCGCGGCUUAUCAGCUUGUUGGUGGGGUAGUGGCUCACCAAGGCUUUGACGGGUAGCGGGCCUGAGAGGGUGACCGGCCACAUUGGGACUAGGAUACGGCCCAGACUCCUACGGGAGGCAGCAGUGGGGAAUAUUGCAGAAUGGGCGGAAGCCUGAUGCAGCAACGCCGCGUGCGGGAUGACGGCCUUCGGGUUGUAAACCGCUUUCGCCUGUGACGAAGCGUGAGUGACGGUAAUGGGUAAAGAAGCACCGGCUAACUACGUG